GACGAACGCUGGCGGCGUGCUUAACACAUGCAAGUCGAACGGUGAAGCGCUUGCCUUUUUGGUGGGUGUGGAUGAGUGGCGAACGGGUGAGUAACACGUGAGUAACCUGCCCUCUUCUUCUGGAUAACCUCAUGAAAGUGGGGCUAAUACGGGGUAUUCCGGGUCUGUCGCAUGGCGGGUUUGGGAAAGAUUGCGCCUUUGGGUGUUUUCGGUGGGGGAUGGGCUCGCGGCCUAUCAGCUUGUUGGUGGGGUGAUGGCCUACCAAGGCGGUGACGGGUAGCCGGCCUGGGAGGGUGGACGGCCACACUGGGACUGAGACACGGCCCAGACGCCUGCGGGAGGCAGCAGUGGGGAAUAUUGCACAAUGGGCGCAAGCCUGAUGCAGCGACGCCGCGUGAGGGAUGGAGGCCUUCGGGUUGUGAACCUCUUUCGCCAGGGAAGCAGGCCUGCUCCUGUGUGGGUGGGUUGACGGUAGCUGGAUAAGAAGCGCCGGCUAACUACGUG
rnacentral:rRNA from 1 species